GGAAGGGCAAGAAAUGCCCAAGGCUUAUAUUGUUGUGUCUCUACACAGUAACUCAUCAUUCAAGUAAAUUAAAACCUCAAGGAAUGUUAACAAUAAUGACUAAUACAACUACCUUGGGAAGAUAAGAUGUGGACUUACCAUGAAUCAGACAGCCUGGGUGUGUCCUCCAUAUCAAUUACAGAUGUUCCCAACAUACUCUGAAAUCAGUACAGUCCAGGUAAGACCUUUUCUUGGCUGCUCUGUAGAAACUCUAAGCUCCAUAAAUUAACAUGUGGAGGAGUAAGUGAUCAUUCUUCUUUUCCCCGCUCAUCCCUCUCCUGUGCCAGACUCCUGAACUUGGAUCUUGGCCAGGUAGAAAUCUGGCCAAUCUGAAGGAAGGAGGCACUUAGAAUGGACCACACCGCUCGUUUUCCUGGGAAUAUUGCUUCUCUCUGGCAGCCCCAGCACAAAGGAUGAAGGAAGACGUGUGCACCUAAGUUCUUCUCGUUGUAAGGAAA
rnacentral:lncRNA from 12 species